rnacentral:rRNA from 1 species
ACAUGCCAGGAACCCUGCGGAGAUGUGGGGGUGCUCGAAAGAGAGCCUGGACACAGGUGCUGCAUGGCUGUCGUCAGCUCGUGUCGUGAGAUGUUGGGUUAAGUCCCGCAACGAGCGCAACCCUUGUCAUUAGUUGCCAUCAUUUAGUUGGGCACUCUAAUGAGACUGCCGGUGACAAACCGGAGGAAGGUGGGGAUGACGUCAAGUCCUCAUGGCCCUUAUGGGUAGGGCUUCACACGUCAUACAAUGGUGCAUACAGAGGGUUCCCAACCCGCGAGGGGGAGCUAAUCUCAGAAAAUGCAUCGUAGUCCGGAUCGUAGUCUGCAACUCGACUACGUGAAGCUGGAAUCGCUAGUAAUCGCGGAUCAGAAUGUCGCGGUGAAUACGUUCCCGGGUCUUGUACACACCGCCCGUCAUACCAUGGGAGUGGGUUUUGCCAGAAGCCGUUAGCCUAACC